rnacentral:rRNA from 1 species
GCGCGAUGAAGGCCUUCGGGUUGUAAAGCGCUUUUGGAGGGGAUGAGAAAGGACAGUACCCUCAGAAUAAGCCUCGGCUAACUACGUGCCAGCAGCCGCGGUAAAACGUAGGAGGCGAGCGUUAUCCGGAUUUACUGGGCGUAAAGCGCGUGUAGGCGGUUUGAUAAGUUGGAUGUGAAAGCUCCCGGCUUAACUGGGAGAGGUCAUUCAAUACUGUCGAACUAGAGGAUGGGAGAGGGAGGUGGAAUUUCGGGUGUAGUGGUGGAAUGCGUAGAUAUCUGAAGGAACACCAGUGGCGAAGGCGGCCUCCUGGCCCAUUUCUGACGCUCAGACGCGAAAGCUAGGGUAGCAAACGGGAUUAGAUACCCCGGUAGUCCAAGCCG